UACGUAGGGUGCGAGCGUUGUCCGGAAUUAUUGGGCGUAAAGAGCUCGUAGGCGGUGUGUCACGUCGUUCGUGAAAACCUGCAGCUUAACUGUGGGCGUGCGGUCGAUACGGGCAUCACUGGAGUUCGGCAGGGGAGACUGGAAUUCCUGGUGUAGCGGUGAAAUGCGCAGAUAUCAGGAGGAACACCGGUGGCGAAGGCGGGUCUCUGGGCUAGAACUGACGCUCAUGCACGAAAGCGUGGGGAGCAAACAGG
rnacentral:rRNA from 1 species